ACAUUAAAAGUUCUGCUUAAGAAGAAACUCGAAAAUAUGUAAAAUUAUUCAUGUACUAAUAAUUAAAAUUCAUAAUAUGAAGGCAUUGCAUUUGAAUUGUUAAUUGCUGGGCAAUUGAAAAGCAAUUAAAAUUAAUUUAUGAAGUCAACCAAGUCUCGCAGAACCAUUUGUUACACAUAAUUCAUGGCUCGCGAGGAUCCAGCCAGGAUUCGUAUUUAUGCUGGCAUGUCGUCUGCUUAUGAAUAUAAACCAUAUUACAACUACUUUUUGGAAUGCUCUGUGGUGAACGACGCGUUAAGCGCCCCUUUUGUAUGCAACACGCAAAAAUG